AACAAGGCGUACCUGCGGACCUGCGGAAGGAUCAUUACCGAGUUUACAACUCCCAAACCCCUGUGAACAUACCACUUGUUGCCUCGGCGGAUCAGCCCGCUCCCGGUAAAACGGGACGGCCCGCCAGAGGACCCCUAAACUCUGUUUCUAUAUGUAACUUCUGAGUAAAACCAUAAAUAAAUCAAAACUUUCAGCAAUGGAUCU
rnacentral:misc_RNA from 1 species